rnacentral:rRNA from 1 species
UGAGAGUUCAAGAGUACGUGAAACUGUGUGGUGGUAAACGGAGGGAUUCUUGAAGUUUCUGCGAAGAACUCAGCCUUGGUGUUGGGCCGUCAGGUUCUGUCCGAUCAGCAAUGACGGCGGGGCCUGUUGUGUCUGGCUCACGGGUGCAUUUUCUUUGCAGUUUACGGCAGGAACCAUUUGCUGUUGACCUAUGGCCUCGGGUGAAGUUACUGGCCUAGCCUGUAGCCCUGGGUGUCCUGGCUCCACAGCAGAUGGGUAAUUGAGAGGACUCGUAUAGCGAGCAAUGCUCUGUUGCGGUUCUCAUCUCUCUGCCGAGUAUGUCAGGGUCCCUCCGACCCGUCUUGAAACACGGA